rnacentral:rRNA from 1 species
CCUAGUAACGGCGAGUGAAGCGGCAACAGCUCAAAUUUGAAAUCUGGCCCUCGGGUCCGAGUUGUAAUUUGUAGAGGAUGCUUUUGGUGCGGUGCCUUCCGAGUUCCCUGGAACGGGACGCCAUAGAGGGUGAGAGCCCCGUCUGGUUGGACGCCAAUCCUAUGUAAAGCUCCUUCGACGAGUCGAGUAGUUUGGGAAUGCUGCUCUAAAUGGGAGGUAUAUGUCUUCUAAAGCUAAAUAUUGGCCAGAGACCGAUAGCGCACAAGUAGAGUGAUCGAAAGAUGAAAAGCACUUUGAAAAGAGAGUUAAAAAGCACGUGAAAUUGUUGAAAGGGAAGCGCUUAUGACCAGACUUGGGCUUGGUUGAUCAUCCGGCGUUCUCGCCGGUGCACUCUUCCGGUCCAGGCCAGCAUCAGUUUGCUCCGGGGGAUAAAGGCUUUGGGAAUGUGGCUCCCUCGGGAGUGUUAUAGCCCAUUGUGUAAUACCCUGGAGCGGACUGAGGUACGCGUUCUGCAAGGAUGCUGGCGUAAUGGUCAUCAGUGACCCGUCUUGAAACACGGACCAAGGAGUCGUCUUCGUAUGCGAGUGUUCGGGUGUCAAACCCCUACGCGUAAUGAAAGUGAACGCAGGUGAGAGCUUCGGCGCAUCAUCGACCGAUCCUGAUGUUCUCGGAUGGAUUUGAGUAAGAGCAUACGGGGCCGGACCCGAAAGAAGGUGAACUAUGCCUGUGUAGGGUGAAGCCAGAGGAAACUCUGGUGGAGGCUCGCAGCGGUUCUGACGUGCAAAUCGAUCGUCAAACAUGG